AUUCCUUGAAUAAACAGCUCUUAUCUGUUCUUAUCAGCUUAAUAUCUGAUACAACCCCCAUAAGGUAUUCAGAAUAUUAAACUAAUUUUUGGAACCUGGCGGAGUUUGCUCCGACUCUGCCGCGGGUCGGCCUAGCAUUGCUGUGCCGCCAGGAACGGCCUAAUUAAU